ensembl:lncRNA
CUCUCCCUUCCUCUGAGCCAGGAAGGGAGAGCGAGGUAGAGAGGUAGAGGUGGAGAGAGAAAAUCGGAGUAUUAAAAAAAAGAGCCUAUAGCUACAAGGCUGUGGACCAACCUACACUGGAUGGAUAUUCUCUCUAUCUCUCUCUCUCUCUCCCUCACUGUCCCUCCCUCCCUCUCUCUCUUGCUCUCUCUCUCUCCCUCCCUUCAUCACUCACUCAGUCACUCGCUCAGACCCUCCUCUCUUACUCUCUCUCCCCCUCUUCCCCAUCUCCCUCUCUCCCCUCUCUCUAUCUCCCUCUCUCACACACACCGAACACACACAUACACACACAGAGCUCUCUCUCAGCUCUUUCUCUGUCAUGCUCUCUUGCUCUCUCGCCCUCUCUCCACUCCCUCUGCCUCAGUCAGUCUCUCUCUCUUCCUCCCUUCCUCACUCAGUCUCUUUCUUUCUUUCUUUCUUUCUUCCUUUCUCUCUCUGUCUGUGUCUUCCGCCGCCGUGUAAGUUCAUCCACUGUGUCAGGGUGAUCACUGGGCUCGAGAAGAGUGAGAAGAGUGGGCUUUUUUGAUGCUUUUUUGUUUCGUGGAGCCGGACGCUUCAACCUCAUCCAGAUCCUCAGCAUCAGCAUCUUUAGCAUCCUCAGCAGCUUCAGCAGCCUCAGCAGCAGCAGCAGCGUCCGUCCACCUGUGUGCCGCGGGACUCUGCCUGGCCGCCCCUCUGUCUCUCUCCCCCUCUCUGUCUCUGUGUGGCUCUCUGAGGAGUGUGUGUGGAGCGCGUGCGGAGAGCCGCAGCCGUGGUGCUACCCCCGGCGUAUCGCACGCAGGCAGCAGACGCCUCCUCCUGGGCUUUCAGCUCCGCAGGAGGCACCUACCGGACCCCAGGGCUGGGAGGGAGGGCUCGUACAGUGGGAUGUUGUCUACAGUGUGGAGAUGCUCAGCAGUGUGGAGAUGGUCAACAGCUCAUGCUUUGGUGCUGCAGGGGGAAUCCAGCUCGGGCCAGGCUCUCCACACGCUGGAGAUUGAGGUAGGUGCAUGCUUGGGGUGGGGGGCAGAAGAGGAGCAGAUGGGGGCAAUCCCCCUCACCCUUAAUACACAUCCCUUUUUGCUCCCACCCCCGUUUCCUCCUGCUUGUCUCCAUAUGUAAUGCUUCUACAUUAUAUAGUAUAGUUAGUAUAGACACUCUUCUUCACCACAACAGGCUUCCCCAGACUGUUUGUUUGUUGGAAGACAAAGCUAACAGAGCUCUAACUAUGCUAACUGUGCCUCACGUGUUCUUCUGACAGCAUGGAUUGAACGAAAUGCACUGUGUUAAUUUCUGUUUGCAGAAGAGCCGUUGAUGGGGCCUUGCCUUGCCACAAAGCGUCUCCAGUCAAUUGUUUUGAAAAGGCCUUGCCAUUUGCCAAAAUGGCCGAGGACUAUGCUCACGAUUCCGUUAUUGCUUUCUCCGUAAAAAAAGACUCUCUUCGGUGACGGGUAUUCUUGGGUGGAUAAUACGGAUCACGUUGUUAUUGCUUAAGAAUACGCGUAGUCGAGGAGAGUCAUGUCGGCGGUGACGGCAGGGGACUAGAGAGAGAGCACAGCCCAGAGAGCCCACCUGCCUGCCCUGCUGCCUUUAGAGCAGGGGCUCACACACAUGCAUGCAUACACACACACACACACACACACACACCUACUCACUAACGCACACACAAUCACAUGAACGCACACACACGCAUUCACAUUCACAUUCACGCAAGCACUCAUUCAUGCAAGCAUGCACUGAGACUUACUCACACACUCAGGACCAUUUAUCAAGCAAGCAGACAGACAGACAGACAGACAGACAGAGCUGCAUCUCCUGUGUCUGUGUGUGUGAUGACUGUGCUGUUGAGUCUCUGUAGACGGGGCUGGCCACUCCUGUUCACCACGUUGCCUUCUUUUUUAACACACACUUCAUACUUACAUACACAUACACAUGCACGCACACACAUUUGAUGAAGAAAAAAAACAAAUGUUUAUAUUUUUGAUUUGUAUUCCUCACCUGCUUAUGCCUUCCAAUUGCACUGAUGUAUAAUCUCAGCUAUAGUGCCUUACUGACUUAUAUGUAUACUUCUACUAUGAAUGUGUAUCAAGUUUAGGGCUAUGUGUUUGUAUCUGUUUAUUGAUUUGUUUUGUUGUUUGCUCACCGAUUGAUGCCGAUCAGCUUGAGUGUUUUCGCAGGGAGCUUGGUAAAAAGAACAGUGUAUUGUGGGGUGGCUGGGGUAGGUAGAGCUGCAGAUGCAAAUGCGUGUAGUCCACAGUAUUUAUUAUCUGUCCUCAGGACCACACACUCUUCACCUCCCACUCCACCUUUUUUCAUGCAAAUUGAUUUUGAAAUGACAUUUAUCGCGUGGGGUUUUUCCGCACGGAAGCCUGCCCCUCCACAAGGGCUGAGGGUAUAAAAAAACAGACACACACACACACACAAACACAAAAUGUCCACCAAGCCAGCGAGACAGCUCAAUUUAUGCGCUGGGGAGGAAGACUGAUUCUAAAAGAACACACAGCAGAUAAACAAUUACCACAGGCUUAGAUUGACUAGCACGCCGCUCACCAUGUAGCCACACACAUAUCAUGAAUAUGUAUCAGUCACCGCAUAUGAUGGUGCAUUCUAAACUCUAACACCCAUGAAAAUCCAUUUAAGCAGCGUAAUAGGAUCUACUUGACUUAUGAAAGCAUACCCUCAGACAUGUCAAAUCUUAUAAAUAUACAUGAGAUCUCUUCUUUUGGCAGGAAUAUAUUUUCCUUCGUUUCCAAAAAAGCGUGAAAGGAAAUAUUAUAAAAAAAACACACACACACACACACACACACAUACCCACAAAAACAAAAUAUGUUGAUGUAUUAAAGAGGGAGGAUUUCUAAAUCUGCAAACAGUCCAAUUUACUCCUGAUUAUCAUUAAGCACAUUGAAAUGAUGCAUUAACAUUUCAGACAGACGAAAGAAAACAAUUCAGUGGCUCUCCUCUUGAUCACCCUGUAAUUAUGGUUCUUUUGGCUGUGCUUUAAUGAACUGUGAGUGGUGGCAGAGACAGUAACACCAUGUUAUGCACCUUUGCCACUAGGGGACUCACACAACUGAAAAAUAGUGUGUCAGUCUGCUUAUGGUUCCAAUUUUAAGGCAUAGUUUUUAUUUAAUUUGGAGAAAAAAUGCUUUGAUAUACAGAAUUAUAUUUUCUGAGCUUUUUGCUUUUAAUUGCAAUUUAUUGGAUUGGAAAAAUCCUCUCAAGUCACAUGCUUGCAUUCACAUGCUUUCAGAACAUGCAGAUGGCAAUGAAUAUAGCAUAAUAUUUUAAAUGGACAUAUAUUAAAAAUAAUAAUACAGUAAAAAAUAUAUAAAAAUAACAUCAAAAACCUUUUAAUAUUUUUGAACUAAACACACUAGUUUAACACUAAUAGGACGAAGAUAAAUAUAUUAGUCUUAAUUAUUUAAUAGAAACUAAUUCUAAAAUAUACCUCACAAUUUUAUAUCACUCUUAUCACCAUAUAUCAAAGUGGUGAACACAGCAGGACCAGGACUGCUACAAAGAGCCAGUUGGACAAAGAGCUCUGACUUGCCCCUCCCCUCCCCCCUUCAGACCUGUUAUAGCAGUGUAUUAAUGGUGAUCUGCAUUAUCAGUUGUAGCAUUAUUUAUUUAUUUGUAUAUAUAUUAUAGGCCACAUUUUACCAUUGACAGUAUUAUUCUGAUUACUUUGUAAUUAAGACAUUUGAAUUAAAUUGUUGUAUUUGUGUAGGAACAUUGUGCUUGCUGCUAAUUAAAUCUGUAUUUUCUAUUUUUGAUAAACAAUCUCCCUGAAAUCGUGAAAUUAUAUAUAUAUAUAUUUUUGUCCUCUUCUGCUGGUUUCACACACAUGACCUCAGUCUGUCAGCACAUUAUACAAUUAUUGUAAUUAUAUACAGCAAGGUACCUCAAAAUUACUGCACUUUAUAUUACUGGAUUUUUAUUCAUUCUGUACAAUUUGUCCUGCUCUUUAUGUCAUGAAUAAAGCUCUAUUUAAUUGAAAUUUAUGGAUUUGU